AUGGCGUCUGAGAAGCCGGUCUUGGCAACGCAGACAUGUUAAGCUCCAAACGCCGCUAAGUUGGUUCUUUAUUCUAUGGCAGCACUUCGCGGCAAACCGUUCAGGAAAACCCGGGUAUUUAAAAAAAGGUUUCGUAGGCUAGUUAAUUCUGCAAUCUACCGACAACCACAGAACGACUGAAUAGCCUGCACAACAGCGACAUCAUCUACAGCAGCUGAUGGUUGCCGCAGCUUUCGUACAAAAUUCCGUAGCCUUUGUUUGAGACGCUUAUACCUGAAUAUCGGAGCUUAAUUAGCAACUUGACGAGCAUGAAGAUGAGCCCGAAGCCCUCCAUUGAUUUCAACCGCGACCGUUUUCCAUUCUGUAUCGUGUGGACACCGAUUCCUUGUCUGACGUGGCUUUGUCCCUUGAUAGGCCACAUGGGCAUCUGCAUGUCCACUGGUAUUAUACGGGACUUCGCAGGACCGUACUACGUAUCUGAGGACAACAUGGCCUUUGGCCGGCCUGCAAAGUACUGGAUGCUGGAUCCUAGCAAAGCAAGGGAUGGAGUUCAGGGCUGGGACAGGGGCGUUGUUGAAGGCUCGGAGGAGUACAGAGGCCACAUGGUGGGCAUGCUCAACAUCAUGCUUGCGCAAGAGAAAGCAGUGGUACUAUCGCGACCUUUACCACAACCUCUUCUGUGACAACUGCCACUCGCAUGUCGCUCGCUGCCUCAACCUGAUGCAGUAUGAUGGCAGCACAAGGUGGAACAUGGUCAAACUGGCACUCAUGAUGCCGUUGCACUCCAAAUAUGUCAGCACAUGGGCUGUGAUCAAGACCUGGCUGCCCUCAGUUCUACUGCUGGUGGGCCUGCUGCUGCUGCUGUGGCUGGUGCCAGCAGCGUGAGUCGUUGAAACAGGCCCCGGCCUAGGUAGUCAGCUACCACAGAGAAGCCAUCCUCCGAGCGCUCCAGCUGCAGCAUCAGAACAACCACACGAACAUGUUUUGCUUCUUGUACAUUGACACGGGCUGCAACUAUGGCAAGUUUAGCUAGCACAAACAAUAACAUGUGGGCAGUCUGCCUGGCCUUUGAAAUUUUGGACACUUUAACUGUUUCCGUAAGUGUCUCACAGCAGCAUCUGUACAAAGCUGAAGUUGCGGACCUCUGGAAGUGUCUUUACCACGUGCCAAUCAAUUCUGUGGACAUCAGAGUUUUCCUUUCAAAAGUAACAAAAGCUCCAAGAAAGUGCCCUCUGUAAGCUUGAAGAUAAUUGAGAGAGCUUAGAGAAGGGGGGCACCUACACAACUCUGCACCAAAAUUUGAACCAGUGGCAAGAAAAUUUUCCAUUGUCUUCCAAAAUGUGCACGAGGUACUUGCGUGACUGGGGACUUUGAAUUUCACAGUACACAUAAACACGGGGAAGGCGGGAGAUGGAAAUUCAAGACGAUGAGCAGAACGAGAACAAGGUGAAAGCAAAAGCCAACAUUUCGACAAGUGGACAUAUGUCGCCUUGAAGAAGACAAGUCCACUUGUCGAAACGUUGGCUCCUGCUUUCACCUUGUUCUCAUUUCGCUCACAGUACACACAAAGAUGCCGCAGCUCUUUUACGUUUGUUGACCUUCUCUGGCAACAAAGCUUACAUUAGCAUACUGUUUUAUGGGACCAUCUGGCCAUUGCAUCAUCAACAGGGAGGCUGUGAACUCACUCAUUGUCCACACAAUAAAACAAUAAACCUAUGUCAGCAGCCCUCCCUUGUUUAUGCACCGCCAUCUUGCCAGUCAUCCUUCGACUGCAUUGACACCAGCUACGUUAACUGAGGUCGUCAUUGGAAUAUCUUCUGAAACGUGGCGAUGCUGUGUAACAACACGGCCGUACACUAGGAAAGGUGCUCAUUCUUAAGAAGCAACAUUACGAUAUAUUGUGGCAUGUGUUUCUAUUCUAGUGAACUUAAAGGAAUAAUUAGCACACAUCGCUGCCUUGUUUUUGCUUGAAUUUCACAGCAAUAUUGAAUUUAUGAAAUCUCCAUUUUUUAGUGAAGCACUCCACAUUCUUGUGUCUAGCACCUAUGGCAAAAUCACUACCGUAAGCGCACUCCGCAGAAGCGAGCUUCUGCGGAGGCACCGGCUUUCACUGCCUGUCGAGUAUGAACCAGUACAAACGAUUCUAAGUGUUUUAUUGAGCAAUGCAAUAUCAGAAAUGCUGUCUUAGCGUGAAAUAUGGGUGAAGACAGAGCAGCAACAGUGAGUGCUAAGUCGUUUAAAAUUGUUAGAACAUAGAUGCAAGUCCCCGCAUGCAAUGAGAAUUGAGUGCUUGUGAGCUUUCUAUCGAUGAGGUCGAAAAGUUUUUUUGAAUUUUUCUCUCUUUCUCUAAACUGACGGCUACUCUACAUAUUUCACUAAAUGAUGACUGUGUGUACUUAGAAUCAAGCAAUAAAAAGCAGAGAACAAAGCACCUUCUCUGCCCUGCUGAUAUUCCAGA